CCGGCUGAGUUCCGGGGUCAGAGCUGAUUUCUAGCGAAUGAGACAGCGCUGCUUUAUAAACAUGGCCGGUUCAAAAAGUCAUCUACGGCAAAGUCUGGACAAAGAGCCAAGUCAUCAAGCCCGUCUGAAAUGCCAACAAGUUGGGAGCCAUCAGUAUCUCAGAGAACCUUAUUUGAGAAGGCAAGAAAUACUGAAUUGAAGGCAGACUUUUGGGAGUCCCAACAGAUGGCAAUGUUUAACUGAAGGAACCCAAAGCACAUCAACCCUGCCAAAUUGAAUCUGUAUGUUCAUGCAUCUAUAUAUUUGUAAUAAAAUCGCAUAUAUUACUGGUAUUCAUUCAUUAACUCCCAUUUUGCUUUUAAUUCACAUAUAAUUUCUAAAAUUUCCUGAAACGUUUGAGCAAGCUAAAGUUUUAAUACAGACAAACAAUAAAUGCAGAUGCUCAUAUUUUCACUCAUAGCAAGAAUAAUUUUUAAAAAUACUAUUUCAAUUUUUUUUGUAAAAAUCUAUGACAUAACAUUGUCAUUUCCCAAAAAAUCUUAUAUAGAGUAACAAAAAUAAUGGCCAAUACAAAUCACCAAAUAUAUCAACCGCAAAGAUAUCAUGGGACAUUUUUCUAAGACUUAGAGCACACACUUAAUAUAAUCUUUUUAGUCUGACAAGUAACUUAUUUCUCCCCAAAUUAUUAGCCAAGAACUGAGCUAGCGUAUGCUUUAAAUAAAGUAUCACAGAAUUCGGUUGAAGAGGCAAGAAACACAACAUUCACAUUUACAAGUAAUGCAAUUCAAACUACCACUCUAAAAGGCAUAUCUACUAUUUAAUAAAAAUUGAAAAGUAAAAAUUCCAAGAAAUGGUCCUGUCCACAAAGUCCAUUUUGUCAACAAUACAGAAGUUAUUUGCUACUGGUUUCUUUUGAAAAUAUUUUCAAUUUUCCAAUCUAGCCUUAAGGUUUGAUAAUUCCUAAUGUUUUUGCCAACCAAGAACUAGGGCUGUGCAAAUCUUUGAAGGGUUAUGUUGUUCAAGGUUUGGGCAAACGACCCAUUCAGGUUAUUUUACAAAGCAAAGUGUGUCCUUCAGUUCUAAGAGCAAAGCAACCAUGAUGUUCUGCUUCACAAUGAUCCUAGUUUUUUUCUGUAGAGUUUACACUGUGAGUAAAGUCUAGGAAGAUCCUUUGUUGAGCACUGCAGAAGACAGAACUAGCCAGAUUUUCCGUGAGUCUGUAGAAUCUAACCAAUCUAAAGACAUCUUGAUACACACUAAGAUUUCAAGGUUAGACAGCUUCAGUGCACAACGAAUCCUGUAACAUGUUGCAAGCCCACUUAGCUAGAAGCAUUUUGGCCUGCACUGGGAAAGAAGACUACAGAGGCUUUUCCAGAAGCACUGGCUUGAUUUGUGGCAAUGUAAAUUGCUUCACUGAGAUAAAGAGAAUUACAAUAUGUUGUUUCUACUACAUGAAUGUCAUUUGAAGCAUAAGCUUACCAAGUAGAGACAAGGUCUAGCCCUGCAUUGCUUUUCAAGAUAAUUUGAAAUAAGCUUAGAUUGGCUAGAUGCCACCUGACUGAGAAAAGGAACAUUAGUGUAUUGUGGAUAUGCCAAAUAGCCAAGCAAGUUUUAGUUAUUGAAAAUACGGAAUUAUGUGCUUUUAUGAAAAACAGAGAAAACUUCAUUAACUAGCCUUGUGUAAAACAUCCUAUAAAAAUCACAACAUAUUUUGCUUGCUUGUUGUGACUUGCACUGCUGAAAAGUUGUUUGGCACCAUCUGAAGAAGUGUGCUAAAGAUGAGAGAAAAUGGUGAAGAUUACCAAGGGACAAUAACUAAUCAAUUCAGAGGGUAUGGUUGAAGUCCCAGGAGAGGACUGAAGAUGAAGAUUAAAAGUUCAUUGCCAAAGGGAAACAAGCAGAUAACUAGCUGCUGACAUUCAGAACCAAGACAGAGGAAAGCGAAAAAUUGUCAUUGAACUCGCUAAGCCUUUUAAACUCUCAAAUUAGGACAUAGGAUGAAGAGUAGGGCAUACAUCUGUUAAGCUUGUAUUGAAAUCUACACAACACAGAUGCUUAACAGUUGCUCUAAGAUUAGAAGUUGAAGUUCAUUAAAAAACAGUUAACACACUAACUACCAUGUCCAUAGAGAAAGAGGAAGAUAUUUUUCACAAUGGAAUCUGUCAAUUAUACUUGCAAAGCUUAGCUGGAUCUGAAACAUUGAAUAUAUGUUAUCAGGAGCUUGAAUAGACAGAGGGCAAAACCGUAUCUUUUUCAAAAUCAUGCUGUUCAUUUGCAAGGUUUGCAUAAAUGCUUUGGACACUAUUCCUAGGUCUUUCUGCAUGAGUGCAUACACAUGCCAGACAUUCAGAAGCAAGUUUUUUAAAGUGCUUUGAACUGCCAUAUUGUUCAUGAAAGUGUAUUUUAUAUCAUAAUUAAGCAAGUCUUUGAAUAGUAUAUCUGAAGGAUUUCCAUAUUUUACACCCUGAAGUUGUGGCGGUUGCUCCUAAUCUUAGUUUUACAUUAAAAGAAAGGUUAGUUCUACUAUAGCGACAUUUGAAGAGCAACAUAAAUCACUGCAACAUUUACUGCUUCUACAAGAUUAAAGAUUAAAAAUAUACAUUUGACAAAAAGAAAAAGGGAGGCCGCUAAACACAAAUUUGCAAAUGGGGGCAUAAAUGAAGUUGCCAAUCUGAAGUUGUUCCCCAGCAUAUGCCUGAGACAUUUUAACAUGAGAUGCUAAGAACUGGAUAAAGAAGGAUCUGUAUGCAGCAGCUACAGGUUGUAUCUAAGAUAUGGCCCCAUUUGCUUUUAGAAUGGCAGUUGGUCUUACCUGAACUGCUAUUUUUGGGGCUGGGACAGGAGGCUCCAGUGGAUGGUAUUAACACGCCCAAUUGGCCACAAGACUGAGAUGAAGCUGAAGUCAUGCCUCUAUGCUCCACCCUUUCCUUUCCAGUUUCAUCGAAGCAAGCUCCCCAAGAC